rnacentral:sRNA from 1 species
AAUCCAACUGGCAAAAAAAAAAAUGCAAAAAAAGAGAUUUUUUUUUCCAAUUUUCGUCCGAAACGGAACGGUUUUGCUUAAAUAGGUAAACCAGGGCCCGGAUAU